UCGCCUACGGGUGGCUGCAGUGGGGAAUCUUAGACAAUGGGGGAAACCCUGAUCUAGCCAUGCCGCGUGAGCGAUGAAGGCCUUAGGGUUGUAAAGCUCUUUCAGCUGGGAAGAUAAUGACGGUACCAGCAGAAGAAGCCCCGGCUAACUCCGUGCCAGCAGCCGCGGUAAUACGGAGGGGGCUAGCGUUGUUCGGAAUUACUGGGCGUAAAGCGCACGUAGGCGGAUCAGAAAGUCAGAGGUGAAAUCCCAGGGCUCAACCUUGGAAAUGACUUUGAAACUCCUGGUCUUGAGGUCGAGAGAGGUGAGUGGAAUUCCGAGUGUAGAGGUGAAAUUCGUAGAUAUUCGGAGGAACACCAGUGGCGAAGGCGGCUCACUGGCGCGAUACUGACGCUGAGGUGCGAAAGCGUGGGGAGCAAACAGGAUUAGAUACCCGAGUAGUCAAG
rnacentral:rRNA from 1 species